UCCAGACUCCUACGGGAGGCAGCAGUGGGGAAUAUUGCACAAUGGGGGGAACCCUGAUGCAGCGACGCCGCGUGGGUGAAGGAGUACUUCGGUACGUAAAGCCCUAUCAGCAGGAAAGAAAAUGACGGUACCUGACUAAGAAGCCCCGGCUAACUACGUGCCAGCAGCCGCGGUAAUACGUAGGGGGCAAGCGUUAUCCGGAUUUACUGGGUGUAAAGGGAGCGUAGACGGUCCUGCAAGCCAGAUGUGAAAGCCCGGGGCUCAACCCCGGGACUACAUUUGGAACUGUAAGGCUAGAGUGUCGGAGAGGCAGGCGGAAUUCCUAGCGUAGCGGUGAAAUGCGUAGAUAUUAGGAGGAACACCAGUGGCGAAGGCGGCCUGCUGGACGAUGACUGACGUUGAGGCUCGAAAGCGUGGGGAGCAAACAGGAUUAGAUACCCCAGUAGGC
rnacentral:rRNA from 1 species